GGUUCCAACAAAACGUUUUGUUAUUUUAUUUUGUUUUUUAAAAGCAGAUUUUUCGAUAACUUUCACAAAGAUUUGGAAUAUAGAUAAACGAAAAAUUUUGUUAUUUUUACACGCUCAUUUUUUAUUGCAUAAAAUUAAAAUUUGGUUUAUUUGAAAUCCAAUAUUAGGUUUAUUCGAUAAGCGUGUAACUCAAAAACGAUAACUUAAAAAAAAAGAAAGAAAAAAGUUUUCAGCGCAUCCGAAACACAACAGCGGAAAAUUUACGGACACGGAAAGCAGCUUUAAAGAUACUUCGACCCAAAACGUUCCGCCUUCCUUUUCCACCCACUGCUGCUCAACUGGUGGCGAUCGAGCUACUGGGUUCGAUCAAGUUAGGCUCCCGGUUGGCGUAGGUGUUGGCCGUCGGGGAACGCUUCGGCUCGUCCAGGACGAUACCUUCGUCUCUAUUCCGCGCAUCUGGUUCACGAUGAACAUCACCACCACCAAGGCGAAGAGCAGACCGACCACGGCCAUCCCGAUGACAGCCGUUAGGAUGUUCGUCUGCCCAAAGAAGCUCGUGGUUCAGUCGCAGUCGUGCCCGUCCGUCGGCGUAAUAUGCUGGUUUGGCUCAGAUCCAGGCCGUUCCUAAACAACUCUACCGUCUACCGAUCGAGAAUAAUUAAAUAAUUUUGAGAAAUUCAAUACAAACCUUUUAAACAUG